rnacentral:rRNA from 1 species
UACGUAGGGGGCAAGCGUUGUCCGGAUUUAUUGGGCGUAAAGAGCGUGUAGGCGGCCAGAUAGGUCUGCUGUGAAAACUCGAGGCUCAACCUCGAGAUGUCGGCGGAAACCAUUUGGCUAGAGUCCGGAAGAGGAAAGUGGAAUUCCUGGUGUAGCGGUGAGAUGCGCAGAUAUCAGGAAGAACACCCGUGGCGAAGGCGGCUUUCUGGGACGGUACUGACGCUGAGACGCGAAAGCGUGGGGAGCGAACAGG